UACGUAGGGGGCAAGCGUUGUCCGGAUUUAUUGGGCGUAAAGAGCGUGUAGGCGGUUUGGUAGGUCCGUUGUGAAAACUCGAGGCUCAACCUCGAGACGCCGAUGGAAACCAUCAGACUAGAGUCCGGAAGAGGAGAGUGGAAUUCCUGGUGUAGCGGUGAAAUGCGCAGAUAUCAGGAAGAACACCCGUGGCUAAGGCGGUUCUCUGGGCCUUACCUGACGCUGAGGAGCGAAAGCGUGGGGAGCGAACAGG
rnacentral:rRNA from 1 species